ensembl:snRNA predicted gene, 22534
GUGUUAUAUGGAAAGAGGGGAGGUUAACAUUCCCCUUGACGAGAGCCUAAAACAUACAUACAGGUAAAGCAAGCAUCGCCACCUACUUAGUUGCAUCUACUGCUUUUU